rnacentral:rRNA from 1 species
AUUGAACGCUGGCGGCAGGCCUAACACAUGCAAGUCGAACGAGUGGCGGACGGGUGAGUAAUGUCUGGGAAACUGCCCGAUGGAGGGGGAUAACUACUGGAAACGGUAGCUAAUACCGCAUACCAUCGGAUGUUCCCAGAUGGGAUUACCUGGUUGGUGGGGUAACGGCUCACGUAGGCGGAGAUCCCUAGCUGGUCUGAGAGGUUGACCAGCCACACUGGAACUGAGACACGGUGCAGACUCCGAUGGGAGGCAGAAGUGGGGAAUAUUGAACAAUGGGCGCAAGCCUGAUGCAGCCAUGCCGCGUGGAUGAAGAAGGCCUUGGGAUUGUAAAGUAAUUUCAGCGAGGAGGCGUUACUCGCAGAAGAAGCAUCGGCUAACUCCGUGCCAGCAGCCGCGGUAAUAC